rnacentral:lncRNA from 1 species
GAUCACAGCUCACUGCAGCCUUGACCUCCCAAGGUGAAGCAAUCCUCCUGCCUCAGCCUCCCAAGCAGAGCUACUUUUUAAAGGACUUAGACUGCAUUGAGAUUUUAGUUGAUCCCCUGUUUUUGGAGCACAGCUUUCAACUUUGAACAGAUCCGAACUUGAUCAACAUAAUCAAGCAUCACUCGAACAACCUUUCCAGAGAGAUGUUGCAGCCAUGACAAAGUUAUUACUUCACAGAACUGAGGGAAACAAAAUCAGAAUUAGGAAAGUAAAUGAAAAACACAAAGUAUCUAUGGUUUAGCAUAGUAGUCAAAGGAGAUGUGGUGUGAUGAAAGCCAAGAGAGAAAAAUGUCUCAAAAAUGGGAAGGGAUGGUAGUGGUCAACUGUACUUAUCCUGAUUCUUUUUUUCAUCAGAAAUAAGAUCAAAAUAAAUCAUUUAAUCAGUUGC